GAAGUCUGACGGAGCAACGCCGCGUGAGUGAUGAAGGCUUUCGGGUCGUAAAACUCUGUUGUUAGGGAAGAACAAGUGCUAGUUGAAUAAGCUGGCACCUUGACGGUACCUAACCAGAAAGCCACGGCUAACUACGUGCCAGCAGCCGCGGUAAUACGUAGGUGGCAAGCGUUAUCCGGAAUUAUUGGGCGUAAAGCGCGCGCAGGUGGUUUCUUAAGUCUGAUGUGAACCCACGGCUCAACCGUGGAGGGUCAUUGAAACUGGGAGACUUGAGGCAAAAGGAAGUGAAUUCCAUGUACCGGUGAAUGUAA
rnacentral:rRNA from 1 species